rnacentral:tRNA from 1 species
GGCAUUGUAGCUCAGUGGUAGAGUAUGUGCCUAGUAUGCACAAGGCCCUGGUUCCAUCCCCAGCACCA